rnacentral:tRNA from 1 species
AGGGAUUUAAGUUAACAAAACUAAUAGCCUUCAAAGCUUUAAUUGAUUAAAAAUCAAUCUCUA